rnacentral:rRNA from 1 species
AGAUUGAACGCUGGCGGCAUGCCUAACACAUGCAAGUCGAACGGCAGCACAGCAGUAGCAAUACUGUGGGUGGCGAGUGGCGGACGGGUGAGUAAUGCAUCGGGACCUACCUGAACGUGGGGGAUAACGUAGGGAAACUUACGCUAAUACCGCAUACGUCCUACGGGAGAAAGCGGGGACCUUCGGGCCUCGCGCGGUCAGACGGACCGAUGUUCGAUUAGCUAGUUGGUAAGGUAACGGCUUACCAAGGCGACGAUCGAUAGC